GCCUGGGGGGCUCAGUUAGUUAAGUGUCUGAUUUCUGCUCAGGUCAUGAUCUCACAGUUCGUGGGUUUGAGCCCCACAUCAGGCU
rfam:Felis catus isolate Cinnamon breed Abyssinian chromosome B1, whole genome shotgun sequence.